rnacentral:rRNA from 1 species
UACGUAGGGGGCAAGCGUUGUCCGGAAUCAUUGGGCGUAAAGAGCGCGUAGGCGGCCCUGUAAGUCCGCUGUGAAAGUCAAGGGCUCAACCCUUGGAUGCCGGUGGAUACUGCAGGGCUAGAGUCCGGAAGAGGCGAGUGGAAUUCCUGGUGUAGCGGUGAAAUGCGCAGAUAUCAGGAGGAACACCAAUGGCGAAGGCAGCACUCUGGGACGUGACUGACGCUGAGACGCGAAAGCGUGGGGAGCAAACAGG